AGAAAAACGAUGACGGAAAAGAGUAGUUUAUUCAGAAACAUCCAGAGAGAACAGCAUUUGGUGAAAGCUGUUUAUGUGUAAGAUAGACGAAAACCAUUCCAGAGCUGUAAUGCUGAAGUGAUGUAAGUGUUACCGUAUGCCUGUGUUAAAGGAUAGGAUUUAUUGGAAUCUGAAGUGAAAAGUUAAGGUGGAACCGUGUUAAAUGCACCCUUAAG
rnacentral:ncRNA from 1 species